UCCAGCUCUCUACAUCCCGUC
rnacentral:misc_RNA from 1 species